rnacentral:rRNA from 1 species
AUGAACGCUAGCUACAGGCUUAACACAUGCAAGUCGAGGGGCAUCAGGAAGAAAGCUUGCUUUCUUUGCUGGCGACCGGCGCACGGGUGAGUAACACGUAUCCAACCUGCCCUUUACUCGGGGAUAGCCUUUCGAAAGAAAGAUUAAUACCCGAUGGCAUAAUGAUUCCGCAUGGUUUCAUUAUUAAAGGAUUCCGGUAAAGGAUGGGGAUGCGUUCCAUUAGGUUGUUGGUGAGGUAACGGCUCACCAAGCCUUCGAUGGAUAGGGGUUCUGAGAGGAAGGUCCCCCACAUUGGAACUGAGACACGGUCCAAACUCCUACGGGAGGCAGCAGUGAGGAAUAUUGGUCAAUGGGCGCUAGCCUGAACCAGCCAAGUAGCGUGAAGGAUGAAGGCUCUAUGGGUCGUAAACUUCUUUUAUAUAAGAAUAAAGUGCAGUAUGUAUACUGUUUUGUAUGUAUUAUAUGAAUAAGGAUCGGCUAACUCCGUGCCAGCAGCCGCGGUAAUACGGAGGAUCCGAGCGUUAUCCGGAUUUAUUGGGUUUAAAGGGAGCGUAGGUGGACUGGUAAGUCAGUUGUGAAAGUUUGCGGCUCAACCGUAAAAUUGCAGUUGAUACUGUCAGUCUUGAGUACAGUAGAGGUGGGCGGAAUUCGUGGUGUAGCGGUGAAAUGCUUAGAUAUCACGAAGAACUCCGAUUGCGAAGGCAGCUCACUGGACUGCAACUGACACUGAUGCUCGAAAGUGUGGGUAUCAAACAGGAUUAGAUACCCUGGUAGUCCACACCGUAAACGAUGGAUACUAGGUGUAGGGAACAUUAAGUUUUCUGUGCCGUCGCAAACGCAAUAAGUAUCCCACCUGGGGAGUACGGCCGCAAGGUUGAAACUCAAAGGAAUUGACGGGGGCCCGCACAAGCGGAGGAACAUGUGGUUUAAUUCGAUGAUACGCGAGGAACCUUACCCGGGCUUAAAUUGCAGUGGAAUGAUGUGGAAACAUGUCAGUGAGCAAUCACCGCUGUGAAGGUGCUGCAUGGUUGUCGUCAGCUCGUGCCGUGAGGUGUCGGCUUAAGUGCCAUAACGAGCGCAACCCUUAUCUUUAGUUACUAACAGGUCAUGCUGAGGACUCUAGAGAGACUGCCGUCGUAAGAUGUGAGGAAGGUGGGGAUGACGUCAAAUCAGCACGGCCCUUACGUCCGGGGCUACACACGUGUUACAAUGGGGGGUACAGAAGGCAGCUAGCGGGUGACCGUAUGCUAAUCCCAAAAUCCUCUCUCAGUUCGGAUCGAAGUCUGCAACCCGACUUCGUGAAGCUGGAUUCGCUAGUAAUCGCGCAUCAGCCACGGCGCGGUGAAUACGUUCCCGGGCCUUGUACACACCGCCCGUCAAGCCAUGGGAGCCGGGGGUACCUGAAGUACGUAACCGCAAGGAUCGUCCUAGGGUAAAACUGGUGACUGGGGCU